UUAGGAGAUUUUUUUGUUAAGGUCGGAAAAAAAUAGUAAAAAGUUGAAAUUUGCAGUAUGCAAUCCUUUAACCGUUCUCAACAACAUACUAAAAGUCCUCAUGUAUCCCGCUUGAGCUUUUGUUGUAUUAACGCCAGAACCAUACACUACCUUUGAACGGAAAUUUUGGCAGAUUGAAUACAUUUUGUUGGAUUUGGUUGGAUUUGGCAGUUCAAAAGUGGAAGCACUGACAAUAACAAUUGUCUGCAGACGCUGCGAAUUGAAAAUAUCUCAGUUAAAAAAAUACUUUCGUAAAAUGGUAAACAAUCGAAGGAGCAAUAUGCUGAGAAGUUCGAAGAAACGUUUUGAAGUGGAAAGAGUUAUUUUUCGCAGAUAUCAUCGUAGAAAGGUGUGCAUAAUAUGUUUUCAUGAGCGCUCAAAAUAUUUAUAUUACAAUGUCAAUGACAUUGACAACGACAGUCUAUUUAUUGUAUUUCACUGUCUCUUGUUUUACUUAAAAAACUUAGAUUGGAAACUUUUUCGGGCUGUUUAUUAUCGUUUAUUAAUGACUUGUCAUGUUUAGGUAGAAUAUUAUGUAAAAUGGAAAGGGUAUAGUUCUUUAGCAAACACGUGGGAGCCUGAGGGGAAUCUUAAUGCAGCUGCAAUCAGAGCUUAUAAUAAUCCACAACCUUCACUUGAAGCUAUUGAGGAAGGGAGAGAUUUCUUACUUUGUGGAAUACAAAAACAGCUGAAAUCGAGAAGCACUGUACCAACUGUCAUCUCAUUUCGGCGUGAUGUGUUUAAUUAUCUUUUCAAUGGAAAGGGGAAACCAGGCAAUGACAGAAAUUCACUUCUACUUGAAAGAAAUGAUUUUAAUCAUUUCCGUAAUUUUCCAAACAAUUGGGAUAAAAUUGUGGACAACAUUGGAGACGGAUUAAAGAUAGAUUUUCCUAUAAAGCUACGCUCAUUCUUGUCUUGGGGUCCACAAACACAUACUUCUUUUGAUGGAAAGUUUUUACCGUGCCCAAGAUAUCGCCCAGAAAAGUUAAGCAUUUCAAUACGUAAAAAAUCAUUUACUCUUUCUAUUGAAUAUUAAAAGCUUAUUUAACGCACUUAACUCUUAUGCAUGUUGUGUUCUAAAAAUAUUACUAAGUAGCAAUAACUUUAACAUUAAUGACACUAAGUCUAUUACACUGCACCGUUUUCGUAGCGUUUUCGUAUUGUUUAAGAGAAUUAGACUAUUGUCUUGUGCCCCCUUGAGGAUUAAGAACAAUACAAAAACGCUACGAAAACGGUGCAGUGUAAAGGUAGCCUAAAUACGAAGGAACUGUAAAUGUCACUGUUUCAGUCAUGUUAUAAAUAAUGGUAAAUAACUUUGUCUUUGUUUAUGAAACGGUUUACAUUAAAAGAAAACCAGUUAUGUUUAUAAGUUUAAAUGAUUCACUACUAAACUAGUUUUUUCUCUUCGUUUUAAUUUUGUAUUACAAAUAUUCCUUACUCAAAUCCUUACUCAUCCUACCUUUAAUCUUCAAUCUUUAUGCACAUUGCACCAAAUGCAUGCGUAGUUCGAUGUGACACAUUUAAUCCCAAAGCAAUAAAAGUUUUAUA